rnacentral:rRNA from 1 species
UACGAAGGGGACUAGCGUUGUUCGGAAUUACUGGGCGUAAAGCGCACGUAGGCGGAUUUGUAAGUCAGGGGUGAAAUCCCGGGGCUCAACCUCGGAACUGCCUUUGAUACUGCAAAUCUCGAGUCCGAUAGAGGUGGGUGGAAUUCCUAGUGUAGAGGUGAAAUUCGUAGAUAUUAAGAAGAACACCGGUGGCGAAGGCGGCCCACUGGAUCGGUACUGACGCUGAGGUGCGAAAGCGUGGGGAGGCGAACAGG